rnacentral:rRNA from 1 species
UACGUAGGUGGCAAGCGUUACUCGGAAUCACUAGGCGUAAAGCGCAGGUAGGAGGUUUGAUAAGUCUGUUGUGAAAGCUCCCGGCUUAACUGGGAGAGGUCAACGGAAACUGUCAGGCUAGAGUGCGGUAGAGGUAGCUGGAAUUCCCGGUGUAGCGGUGAAAUGCGUAGAUAUCGGGAGGAAUACCUAUGGCGAAAGCAGGCUACUGGACCGUCACUGACUCUGAUCUGCGAAAGCUAGGGGAGCAAACAGG